UAUGCAAAAGAAUUGAGCUUCCAAGAGACCCAGCUCUUUUGCAGGCAAUAGACAAUAUCAAAGCUAAAAUGUCUGAAGAGGAGAUCUUUGGCAAUAUGGAUAAGAAGCUGAAAGUAUCCAGACAGAGAGAAAGAGAGAGAGAAAACCAGAAGACAAAAUGCCGUCCGAUUUGGAACUGAGAUUCAGCAGGUAAAACAGGAACUGCAAGAUGUACAGGAGAGCAAUGCAAAGGGACGAGCCCAAGAAUUUGCCAGCCUGGAUGAAAAACUUCUAAUGGAAUCCAGCUUGCAAGCAAGUCAAGGGCAGCUAAGCAAGCACAGAACAGAAACCGUUUCCCCAGACCAGUAGGAAAUGACAGAGAGAGCUGAAGUCUCUGUGAGAAUAGAUUCUCAUGAAGAAAUUAGUGAUUACAAUCCUUUUAUGAAGACAGUGCUUCAUUUGUGGAACAGAGGCUAAGAGGAGAAUAAGACUUUAUAAAAAUGACAACUGAAUCUGCAUAAUCCAGGUUAGUAUAAUGAGCAAAGAGUAAAAAUUAUUUUUAGUUUCUUAAGAACUAUGGAUAUUUGUCUGUUAUGUAAGGCAGAAAUG